GAAAAAAAAAAAAAGUUUGGAUCUUCACGAACUAUUUACAUCUCCCUUGGAGGAAAAUGCAGCAGCAGGAUGGGGUCAUUGUGUGGGCUGGAUCCUGCUCUCAGGGCCACGCUAGGCCAGCGCACAGCCAGGAAACACAACUAGCUUUGUCUGUCAUUCAACCACACAACCACAGCUAUUGUGCUUCCAGUGCACACUUUAUCCGAACUAAUGUGUCUUCAAGAAGAUCCUUCUGUCUGAGCGAUGAUAACACAGCCUCUGUGUCCACUUCUGGUCUGGAUCGAGGCUAAGAGAAAAACAAUUCCUGGCAGAUUCCUCAAAGGGCUUGCUUCCUACAAUGGGAACGAAGACGGUUGUUCAAGAAGGACGGAUGUGAAAGGAGUUGAUCACGUAAUUUUUCUGCUGAUCAGAAAUAAUGUCCUGCUAGUGAAGACAAUUAUUCUUGGAACUUACCAGACUUGUUUAUGUCACCAAAACUUACUAAUCAAGAUUUGAAAAACAUAUCUGCAUUGUGAGCAACCUGCUGUGGUAUGUAAACAAGCUGCCUGGCAAAAAGUCUCACCACCCUUCUAAAACAAAAAACUACAACAAAAAACAUAGGUGCUUAACCAAAAGGAAAAAAAAAGAGUAAGCUGGGGCGAAAAAAAAAAAAAAAAACACACUAAAAAUGUUACAAGGUUUUAAAUGUGAAGACCAUGACUGUAACCUCUCAAGGGGAAUGCGAAGUCUCCAUCUCCUGAUAUUUUUAGAUUAAGAUUUAAUGUGUUUCUGGAAUGGAUUCUUUAGAUCAGCAUAAGCUACAGUUUCCCAACCUUUAUAUCUCUCUUCAUCGCUGCCUUUCUCAUGGACACUGUUCUUGCAGCCUGAGGGAUAAAUCCUGCAAGAUGCUGAGUCUGCUGGCCCCAGACGAGCAGGACGCUAAGCACUGCAAGCACGAGUGCUCCCAGCAAGGUUAGUUUUCACAUACCUACAACUCAGCACGUCCUAAAGCCCGUUAUGGGAUCAAGGCCAAGAGGCUCAUGCUUUGGCAAGGUUCAGUUCAUCAAAAAAAAGAAAAAAAAAAAAAAAGAAAAAAAAAAAAGAGAAAAAUCCAACCUGGAUCAGAUUAAAGAAUUGGUUUUUGGUCCAGGGGAGGCCACUACUCAUUCGCAGCACUGUAGUAAACUGCCUUUGCAUGUCUCAAUGAGUGAGCAAUCUCACACUGCUUUGUGGCCAACAGAGAACGUGGGAUGAGCCAAGGAAGAGCCUUAUCUUUAUUAUUUUCUCUUUACCCUGGAGUUAUUGGGAGCCCAGUUCUUUGGUCGUUUUCCACAGAGCAAGAAUCCACCCUCCCUGUGAGCAGCACAGCCGGAGAGUCACCAAGAGGCAGCUGCAGCCACGCUGUCGAUAAGAGGGGUCAGGCAACAACAUCGGGGGCAUUUCAACAACCUGCCGCUCUCCAUCUGAGCCUCCCUUCCGAUGAGAUGCAAAUGGGAACCAUAUCCCCACCUGAGAGCAACUUGGAGUUCAGAUCCAGCCUUAUUUCAAGGCUCUGGCUCUGAUGGGGAUGGACAGACAGCUCUUCCCUUUUAAAGUGGGCGCUUGGGAGCCUCCAAGCCCCGUGCAGAGGCAAAGGGCAGUGCAUCUUCUGAUAGCCCCGCUCUUCAUUAGGACCACGGCAUAUCUCUAGGAGAAAGAGGAUGUCUCUGAUGUCUCUGGUGCAGUUUUGACCCCCCUCUGUGGACGGGCCAGGGGCUGGAAGCCUGGAGAUUUGGUUUUUAUCUCCACGUCUCCCAUCAAAACCGCCAAAACCUCAUUAAAGCACUUCAGUUCUAUUUCCCCCCUGACUCUGAGCUGAGUUGAGGCCUUGAGGUGUCAGCAUGACACCACCGGCACGAACCCGUCGUGGAGCGUUUUGCAGGCUCUUGCAGCAAUCUACAGGCCUGGGUGGCCCAGGCCACCCUCAGAACACCUCUGUGAUGACAAAUUCAGCCCUGUUGUGACAUCCACCUGCAUCAAAGAGGAAUGCUACAGAGACAUCCUGAAAGGCAGAAAAAGGGUGGGACAUUACUGUCAGGGCAAAGCGUAUCAUCUGCUGUGGGGCCAGAGGAAGGGAGAGGGAUGGACGGGAAGGGAUGUAGGCCAUGGGGAGUGCUGGAUUGGAGAUGGAGAAAGGUGAGGAGAGGAGUUUGCUGUCACAGUGGCACAGCCUGUGGGUCCCCCAGCAUAAUGACAGAGUGGUGCAAAGAGAGACACGUGCAUGUGGUCAGCAGGUAAGGAUGGAGCAGGUGAGAAGCAUCUCCAGCACAGGGCACUCUGAAGGCACUUUUCUGAAUUGAACAUUCAGCAGGUGGGAAAGGUUUUUUUUUUGGUACCUUGUGGUCAGGCUUAGGUUUCCCUCAUCUCUACAGGACAUUGCAUAUGGCCCUGUUCAACCUCCUGCCCUGAAAUGCUGCAAGAAAACCUUGCAAAUAUCUCACCCACAAAUCCUGCACCCACACGUGGCAGCAGCAGAAUCAGACCCGCAGCUCUUUUUCAGACAACUGUAGAGUGGUGUAAAUACACAGAAUGCUGUAAAAACCAAUAACCUUUGAAGCACACCCUCUGAGUAAUUACCCCAUUCCCAUCUAAUGACUUAAAGAUGUUAUAUUCCUCUCUGAUUUGGCAACAACAAAGAUUUUGACCUUAUUAAAACCAGCCCGUCAGGAAACUACAUGUCAUCCUUAAAAAAGAAAGAAAGAAAGAAAAAAAGGAGGAAAAAAGAAAUGAAAUUCUUUAAAAUCCCUGUGAACAAUAAUUCAAGAUACUGUAGCUGAAGACCCAUGAUUUGUUGUAGAGUGUCUGGGUGGUCCUGAGGCGGGAGAUGACAACAUUAGCUCUUUCCUUUGCCCUUCUAAGAAAUGCUUUGAUGAUUCUCUAAUAUCCUAAGAAUAUCCCCCUGUGAUUCUGCACUGGGACGAGGCAAUCACAGAGUCGGGAUAAUGCAUCCCAGUUUUACCCAGGGCCUGGCCCUUGCUUACAGGGGAUAGCUCAGAGCCCUUUGUUUCACGGGCUCUGCGCAGACAUCUGAGCCAGGAUGUGUUCGCCAGAGCCUGAGUAGUGAUGUGGCCUCAAAAACAUCCACAAACUCACCCCCACCCUGUGUACACAUCUGGUUGUGUACCUGAUUUGUAUGUGCAAUUAAGGCACUCAUCAUCAUAGCUCAAAUAACCAAAUACUUCUUCCACUGGUUAUUGGACAGAUAAUGAUUGCAGUAUUUAUAGCCAAAGUAAGCAAGAACAUCAAGGUUUGAAUAUACAGAUGAGCUUAGAAUGGUAAAAAUCUUGCCAGUGAUGCAAUCCGUGAUGUUUCUGGGGCAAUUUGCUGAUAUACAACUUGCAAAGGGUUCAUUUGAUGGUACUGCAAUCAGGUGGUUUUGAACAAAACCCCAAGCAUGAGCAGAAUAUCUCUCUUUUGUCUGUAUUUUGCAAACUGUCUCUCACAUUAAACCAGCCCCGCAUACAAAACAAUUUGCAAUUUUUGGGGUGGUCAAAAUAAUAAUCCCUAUUUUAUUUCUUGGGCUCAACCUUUCAAUUAAUUAGAAACAGAGUGACUCGGUCUGCCCUCUCCGAUGUGCACUCAAGUGUUUGUUUGGUACUGUGUGGGCCCUAUGGCUCAAAUAUUUUUUGCAGAUGCACAGAAUUAACCAUGCAUGUUUAGAUGUGCUUGGGGAACACAUACGUUCAUAGAGAUGUAUAUAUUUGACCCUGUCACUUUCUUGUUAAACACUGUAAAAGAUAUCGACUUUCCCCUCCAGAUUUUAAAAUGAUUUAGAAUAGGCAGUACUGGGGAAAUACCUAAAACAUCCUGUCAAAUUAAGUAUUUUCUCCAAGACUGUUCUCUAAGACACACAAUUAUUUCAGCUAAGAAGAUGCCUGUGCAAUGUAUUAAGGAACAGAAUGAGCAACCAAAAUAUAAACUGGCUUAAAUGGA